ensembl:miRNA
GUCUGACCAAUGGUUGACCAAGGCUUGGCCAAUGGUUGACCAAUGGUUGAUCAACUCUUCGCCAAUGGUUGACCAGUGGCUGAACCAUAGUUGACCAAUGCUUGACCAAU